GUACAGUGGAAUAUAGAAUGCAUCUUUAUGGGAACUGAGAUGUCCAGUUGUGCGAGCAUUUACAUACCUAGUAGGAACAACAAUUACCACAGCAGUGUAAAAAGAUAUGCCCAGCAGAUAACAGCAAUAGAGUUCCAAAUUUUCUUAUCUGCUGAGCCUAUUUGACCUAAAAUAUUUACUUGAAGUACCCCUGAAUUAUCUAAUUUACCUACACCUCAGGAUGGAAGCUAAGAUAGUUUAAUUAAAAUACUUCUGCAGGAUAAAUUAGACAUCCACCUCAUAUAUACCUAAAAAUAUAAAUCAUAUGUUUCUUUUUAGAUGCAUUUUAGCUGAAGUUUAAUCUAAUACAUCCAGAGCAUAUCCGAUAAUCAAGAACAGAUCCAGAAUUUCAUGGAACCACCAAAGGCGUUGAUGAGAGACCAUCUCAAGCUGAACAGACUGACCUCCAAAUGAAGAGAACACUAUCCAGAGGCAGGCCUGGACGAAGUGGGAAGAUCCACGAAGGGGGGGAGGGAAAGGAACAGUGGUCACUGGAACCUCAGAGGCAUGUUUAACUCAACCGAGAGAGAGAGAAAAACCCCACAGAUAUGGUUUGGCCUUUCAAUCAGUGUUCAGGACUCAGACACAGUCUCAUUGUUCAAGUCGAGGCUGAAACAUUUAUUUAGUGAAGCCUUUUAUCAGUAGGUUUAUAUUAGGUGAAGGAGCAGAUCUGGGGGGGAUUAUGGAUAUAGAGUUGGGUGAAAUGGCAGUUGUCAUCUUGGCUGCUGUUUGGCCCAGUUUCUAAAGUGAGGGCAUCAUGUUCUGCUUCAGAAUGUCACAGUACAUGUUGGAAUCAGUGUUUUCAAUCAUUUCAAAAAACAAACCAAAAAAUCCUCUAUGCCUGCCAAAUGAUUUAAGCUAACUGGAAGUCUAUAUUACUAAACACUCUUUAAAACCA